rnacentral:rRNA from 1 species
CCUACGGGAGGCAGCAGUGAGGAAUCUUGGACAAUGGGCGCGAGCCUGAACGAGCCACGUCGCGUGAAGGAUGACUGCCCUACGGGUUGUAAACUUCUUUUAUAAAGGAAUAAAGUGAGGCAAGUGUGCCUUUUUGUAUCUACUUUAUGUAAACGGAUCGGCUAACUUCGUGCCAGCAGACGCGGUAAUACGGUGGUUCCGAGCGUUAGCCGGAUUUAUUGGGUUUAAAGGGAGCGUAGAUGGGUUUUUAAGUCAGUUGUGAAAGUUUGCGGCUCAACCGGACAAGUGCAAUUGAUACUGGCAGUCUUGAGUGCAGUUGAGGUAGGCGGAAUUCGGGGUGUAGCGGUGAAAUGCUUAGAUAUCACGAAGAACUCCGAUUGCGAAGGCAGCUGACUAAACUGCCACUGACAUUGAUGCUCGAAAGUGUGGGUAGCAAACAGGAUUAGAUACCCCAGUAGUC